AAAGUACUCCCUCCGUCCCAAAUUUCUUGUCUUAGAUAUGUCUUGAUACGGAUGUAUCAAGUCACAUUUUAGUAUUAGAUACAUCCGUAUCUAGACAAAUCUAAGACAAGAAAUUUGGGACAGAGGGAGUAGUUG
rfam:Triticum urartu cultivar G1812 contig774863, whole genome shotgun sequence.